UACGGAGGGUGCGAGCGUUGUCCGGAAUCACUGGGCGUAAAGGGCGCGUAGGUGGCGCCGCAAGUCAACGGUGAAAGCUCGACGCUUAACGUCGAGUCGGCCGUCGAGACUGCGGGGCUCGAGCACUGUAGAGGCUCAUGGAAUUCCGGGUGUAGCGGUGGAAUGCGUAGAGAUCCGGAAGAACACCGGUGGCGAAGGCGGUGAGCUGGGCAG
rnacentral:rRNA from 1 species